rnacentral:rRNA from 1 species
GCAUAGACAGCUAGGAGGUUGGCUUAGAAGCAGCCACCCUUUAAAGAAAGCGUAAUAGCUCACUAGUCGAGUCGGCCUGCGCGGAAGAUGUAACGGGGCUAAGCAAUAUACCGAAGCUGCGGCAGCAAGUUUACUUGCUGGGUAGGGGAGCGUUGUGUAAGUGGAUGAAGGUGAGUUGUAAAGCUUGCUGGACAUAUCACAAGUGCGAAUGCUGACAUGAGUAACGAUAAUGGGAGUGAAAAACUCCCACGCCGGAAGACCAAGGUUUCCUGUCCCAUGCUAAUCAGGGCAGGGUAAGUCGGCCCCUAAGGCGAGGCAGAAAUGCGUAGUCGAUGGGAAACGGGUUAAUAUUCCCGUACUUAUAUAAUCAGUGAUGGAGGGACGGAGAAGGCUAGGCAAGCUUGGCGUUGGUUGUCCAAGUGAAAGUGAGUAGGCUGAAGACUUAGGUAAAUCCGGGUUUUCAAGGCCGAGACACGAGACGAGCUCCCAAGGGAGUGAAGUUGUUGAUGCCCUGCUUCCAGGAAAAGCUUCUAAACUUAUGAUUAUAUGAACCGUACCCCAAACCGACACAGGCGGUCAGGUAGAGAAUACUAAGGCGCUUGAGAGAACUCGGGUGAAGGAACUCGGCAAAAUUGUACCGUA